rnacentral:rRNA from 1 species
AUAUAAUAAAAUUACUGUAAAGAAAAUUAAAUUUUAAGUUGGUUAAUACCUUUUGCAUAAUGGUUUAAUAAUAAUUAUUAAGUAUUUAAUUUCCCGAAAUUAGAAGAUCUAAUUUUAUUAAAAAUUUAGAUGUAAUAUGAUAUAAUGUUUCAAAAUUAUAAAUAUAAAUAAAAUUAGGGGUGAAAGGCCUAUCAAUUCUAAAGAUAUCUGGAAUAAUUUAAAAUGUAUUUAGUACAAAAUAAAAUUUGAGUAAAAAAAUGUUAAGGUUUUUUUAUAUUAGAAUAAUAUUUAAUUUUAUAUUAUGAAUUAACCUUCUCAUAGCUAAUUCUAUUAAUAAUUUAAGAAUAAAAAUAUCUAAAAUUUAAAAUUAUAAACAUAGUAACUUUUAAUUUUGUAAAUUAUGUUAAAAUUAGUAUAAUGUUUUUAUUUUUUAAAGGAACUCGGCAAAUUUAUUAUUCAUCUGUUUAUCAAAAACAUAGCUUUAUGUAUUAUAUAUAAAGUGAAACCUGCCCACUGAUUAUAAUUUAACGGCCGCAGUACCUUGACUGUGCUAAGGUAGCAUAAUAAAUUGACUUUUAAUUGGGGCCUUGAAUGAAAGGAUAAAUGGAUAAUUUCUGUCUUUAAUAAACUUCUUAUAAUUUACUUAAAAGGUGAAAAUUCCUUUAAUUUAAUAUAAUAGACGAGAAGACCCUAGGAGUUUUAAAUUUUGUUGGGGCGACAGUAUAACAUUAAAAUUAACUUAUACAUAAAGUUAGUUAAAAUUAAACGAAUAGUUUUAAUAAUAAAUAAACUACCCUAGGGAUAACAGCAUAAUUUUAGAGAAAGUUUGUGACCUCGAUGUUGGACUAGGAACUUUUAAAGCUAACAGCGUUAAUUGUAGUUCUGUUCGA